rnacentral:rRNA from 1 species
UUUAUGGAGAGUUUGAUCCUGGCUCAGGAUGAACGCUGGCGGCGUGCCUAAUACAUGCAAGUCGAGCGAACGGACGAGAAGCUUGCUUCUCUGAUGUUAGCGGCGGACGGGUGAGUAACACGUGGAUAACCUACCUAUAAGACUGGGAUAACUUCGGGAAACCGGAGCUAAUACCGGAUAAUAUUUUGAACCGCAUGAUUCAAAAGUGAAAGACGGUCUUGCUGUCACUUAUAGAUGGAUCCGCGCUGCAUUAGCUAGUUGGUAAGGUAACGGCUUACCAAGGCAACGAUGCAUAGCCGACCUGAGAGGGUGAUCGGCCACACUGGAACUGAGACACGGUCCAGACUCCUACGGGAGGCAGCAGUAGGGAAUCUUCCGCAAUGGGCGAAAGCCUGACGGAGCAACGCCGCGUGAGUGAUGAAGGUCUUCGGAUCGUAAAACUCUGUUAUUAGGGAAGAACAUAUGUGUAAGUAACUGUGCACAUCUUGACGGUACCUAAUCAGAAAGCCACGGCUAACU